rnacentral:sRNA from 1 species
UGCAAACGCAAGGAGGUAGCCAUGGGACUCACACAUUCCUUGAAUGUUCUGAUGAUCAGUGCAGCGUUCCUCUUCAUCGCAACGAUGAUCUUCAUCUGAGGCGAUCAAAGCGCAGUCCGGGAGGCCAGGGACCAAAAACUCAAAAAACACCCUGCCGAAACGAAUUCUAGAAAAAUGCAUGGCCCCGGAGACGGCGCCAUGCAUUUU